rnacentral:misc_RNA from 1 species
UGUUUACAGAAGGCUUCUCAGUAAGAGUACUAAAAUCCACUAACAACAAUAAACCAGAACCGUCAUAUUAUCAGGUGAAGAAUUUAUACAGCAGCGCGGUCUUAUACGUGGGGAGAAGAAAAGGAACAGAUUUCCUCCUCACCGACAGAUGGAAUAGAAAUACUAUCUGAAAAAUACAAAAUGCCUAAAGCAGUACAGAACAAAUUAUAAAAACUAAGAACAACGAGGACUUUGAGACUUAUGGCCAUGUUUGACCACAAUAACCUUGACUUCUAACAGGUUAGAGACAUUACUCCAUCGAUCCCCAUCAAAGUUAAAAUUUUUUCCACCCUUGGCUCUGCAGAAUUUUAGUGCAAGUUUCCAAGCCCUACAUCAAGAUCUCAGGAGCCCAUUCUGGCCCAAUUACAACUUUGGAGAACCAAAUGAAACUACAAAGUGCAAACUAGAACAUUCAAUUCCAGUCACUAAGGGUCGUGUCUUGGUCUUUUGAAAGCCCACGUCAGACAUCAUACACGACACUUGUAUAUUAAAAUACUGUGUAUAAAGGCCACAACAAACAAGAAAGUGCAAGAGCCAAAUAAUGACAAUAAUAAUAACAAGAAAUUUCUGCCAUUAGACCCCCAAAUAAAGAAUUAGCGUACCCAUAAUUAGAAUAGAAAUGUGAAAUCCAAUAAGACUAUACACAAUUCAAUGCAACCCAAAGGGCAAUACGUAGCAGGACAGCAGGAACCUCAGAGGGAAAAAGAAAAGAGCCAGCCCCAGGGUCUUAAUUGAGAAAAUAAAAAAAACCCAUCAUGAAAAAUGAUGGAAGUCAUAUAGAUAACUUAUAAACCUAGCAGAAUCCCCUCCGGAACAGUAUCAUCAGAAAGCAUUUCACAUAUAUAACCCAAAAUGAGCUUCAAAUAUUUCCCAAAAAACUAAGCUUAGCCCAAUAACAAAAGUUUACCAAAACCAAGGAUUAAAAAGUUCAAAAACCACACAACCAAUAUCCCAGAAUUUAAGAAAUACCCACACAAAUACAUAUAGGAAAAUAGAUCAAUGAUUGAGAUUAAAUAC